AGUGAACGCUGGCGGCAGGCCUAACACAUGCAAGUCGAGCGGCAGCGCGGGGGCAACCCUGGCGGCGAGCGGCGGACGGGUGAGGAAUUCGUCGGAAUCUGCCUUUUUGUGGGGGAUAACGUAGGGAAACUUACGCUAAUACCGCAUACGUCCUACGGGAGAAAGUGGGGGACCGCAAGGCCUCACGCAGAAAGAUGAGCCGACGACCGAUUAGCUAGUUGGUGGGGUAAAGGCCCACCAAGGCGACGAUCGGUAGCUGGUCUGAGAGGAUGAUCAGCCACAGGGGGAAGGAGACACGGUGCAGGGUACUACGGGAGGCAGAAGGGGGGAAGGUUGGACAAUGGGCGCGAGCCGGAGGGAGCAAUGCCGAGUGAAGGAAGAAGGGGUUCGGGUUGUAAGGGGGGUGGGUAGGGAAAGAAAAGGAGGGGGUGAAGAACCGGGGGUAAGGAGGGGACCGGAAGAAGAAGCAACGGCUAACUAGGUG
rnacentral:rRNA from 1 species